rnacentral:rRNA from 1 species
UGGGGAAUAUUGCACAAUGGAGGAAACUCUGAUGCAGCGACGCCGCGUGAGUGAAGAAGGUCUUCGGAUCGUAAAACUCUGUCCUUGGUGACGAAAAAAUGACGGUAGCCAAGGAGGAAGCCCCGGCUAACUACGUGCCAGCAGCCGCGGUAAUACGUAGGGGGCGAGCGUUGUCCGGAUUUACUGGGCGUAAAGGGUGAGUAGGGGGUAAUAUGUGUCAGAUGUAAAAGGCUAUGGCUUAACCAUAGUUAGCAUUUGAAACUGUAUUACUUGAGUGCAGGAGAGGUAAGUGGAAUUCCUAGUGUAGCGGUGAAAUGCGUAGAUAUUAGGAGGAACACCAGUGUCGAAGGCGACUUACUGGACUGUAACUGAAGCUGAGUCACGAAAGCGU